rnacentral:rRNA from 1 species
AUUAAAGAGAGUUUGAUCCUGGCUCAGGACGAACGCUGGCGGCGUGCCUAAUACAUGCAAGUAGAACGCUGAGAACUGGUGCUUGCACCGGUUCAAGGAGUUGCGAACGGGUGAGUAACGCGUAGGUAACCUACCUCAUAGCGGGGGAUAACUAUUGGAAACGAUAGCUAAUACCGCAUAAGAGAGACUAACGCAUGUUAGUAAUUUAAAAGGGGCAAUUGCUCCACUAUGAGAUGGACCUGCGUUGUAUUAGCUAGUUGGUGAGGUAAAGGCUCACCAAGGCGACGAUACAUAGCCGACCUGAGAGGGUGAUCGGCCACACUGGGACUGAGACACGGCCCAGACUCCUACGGGAGGCAGCAGUAGGGAAUCUUCGGCAAUGGGGGCAACCCUGACCGAGCAACGCCGCGUGAGUGAAGAAGGUUUUCGGAUCGUAAAGCUCUGUUGUUAGAGAAGAAUGAUGGUGGGAGUGGAAAAUCCACCAAGUGACGGUAACUAACCAGAAAGGGACGGCUAACUACGUGCCAGCAGCCGCGGUAAUACGUAGGUCCCGAGCGUUGUCCGGAUUUAUUGGGCGUAAAGCGAGCGCAGGCGGUUUUUUAAGUCUGAAGUUAAAGGCAUUGGCUCAACCAAUGUACGCUUUGGAAACUGGAGAACUUGAGUGCAGAAGGGGAGAGUGGAAUUCCAUGUGUAGCGGUGAAAUGCGUAGAUAUAUGGAGGAACACCGG